AGCGAACGCUGGCGGCAGGCUUAACACAUGCAAGUCGAGCGGGUGUAGCAUACAUCAGCGGCAGACGGGUGAGUAACGCGUGGGAACGUACCUUUUGGUUCGGAACAACACAGGGAAACUUGUGCUAAUACCGGAUAAGCCCUUACGGGGAAAGAUUUAUCGCCGAAAGAUCGGCCCGCGUCUGAUUAGCUAGUUGGUAGGGUAACGGCCUACCAAGGCGACGAUCAGUAGCUGGUCUGAGAGGAUGAUCAGCCACAUUGGGACUGAGACACGGCCCAAACUCCUACGGGAGGCAGCAGUGGGGAAUAUUGGACAAUGGGGGCAACCCUGAUCCAGCCAUGCCGCGUGAGUGAUGAAGGCCCUAGGGUUGUAAAGCUCUUUUGUGCGGGAAGAUAAUGACGGUACCGCAAGAAUAAGCCCCGGCUAACUUCGUGCCAGCAGCCGCCGUAACAC
rnacentral:rRNA from 1 species